rnacentral:rRNA from 1 species
GCAGCCAGAGAGGCUUCGUUCAGGUUCAGGAGGCGAUGCGCCUGUUCGCUCGUGCGUCGUUUUAAACCCGGUGGGUAGACGCCGGGCGGAGUGGUGCAUCUCUUCAGCAAUCCAGUUUCGUAGCCAGCCAACGUCGGUCGGCCGUCGCCCAGCAGGGCGGCGGGGAAGGUUUCUUUCCGUGCCUCCUUGUGGGGCCUUGGGAAGGGGUUAUAGCCACGCCGUUCGGAAGUGGACGGGCGACCGAGGACUGUCGCAACCCCUUUGCGCAGGCACUGCGGGCCCCUUGCGGGCCGGAUCGCCCCUGCUCGUCCGGGAAGCGCGGAGGCCGACUGNNNGCNNUGUUCUCNGACGCUUGUUCAGUUCGGGCGGGGGAUCGGUCGCGACUGCAGUGAUG